AUCGUCUUUACCUUUUCUCUCCGUUGCUCUGCAUUUCCAAGUAAGUUUCCUCUCCUUUUAACUAUUUAAAGUUGUUUUUACUCUGAUUAAAGUAAUCUUUGAUACAUUAUCUCUCCUUUGAACUUAUUGAAAUGAGUUUUCGUUGUGUUUUGGUGCGGUUUUUUUGUUGUGUCUUUGUGUAGCGUAGUGCAUCUUCUCCCUUUGCUUGUUUCA
rnacentral:lncRNA from 1 species